AGCGAACGCUGGCGGCAGGCUUAACACAUGCAAGUCGAGCGGGCGUAGCAAUACGUCAGCGGCAGACGGGUGAGUAACGCGUGGGAACAUACCUCUUGGUUCGGAACAACACAGGGAAACUUGUGCUAAUACCGGAUAAGCCCUUACGGGGAAAGAUUUAUCGCCGAGAGAUUGGCCCGCGUCUGAUUAGCUAGUUGGUGAGGUAAUGGCUCACCAAGGCGACGAUCAGAGCUGGUCUGAGAGGAUGAUCAGCCACAUUGGGACUGAGACACGGCCCAAACUCCUACGGGAGGCAGCAGUGGGGAAUAUUGGACAAUGGGCGCAAGCCUGAUCCAGCCAUGCCGCGUGAGUGAUGAAGGCCCUAGGGUUGUAAAGCUCUUUUGUGCGGGAAGAUAAUGACGGUACCGCAAGAAUAAGCCCCGGCUAACUUCGUGCCAGCCGCCGCCGUAA
rnacentral:rRNA from 1 species